rnacentral:rRNA from 1 species
CAGUAGCCGCGGUAAUACAGAGGGUGCGAGCGUUAAUCGGAUUUACUGGGCGUAAAGCGUGCGUAGGCGGCUUUUUAAGUCGGAUGUGAAAUCCCUGAGCUUAACUUAGGAAUUGCAUUCGAUACUGGGAAGCUAGAGUAUGGGAGAGGAUGGUAGAAUUCCAGGUGUAGCGGUGAAAUGCGUAGAGAUCUGGAGGAAUACCGAUGGCGAAGGCAGCCAUCUGGCCUAAUACUGACGCUGAGGUACGAAAGCAUGGGGAGCAAACAGGAUUAGAGACCCGCGUAGUCCCUGUCUCUUAUAA